rnacentral:tRNA from 3 species
GGUCCCGUGGUGAAGCUGGAGUUCACGCCGGCCUGUCAAGCCGGAGGUCGCGGGUUCGAGUCCCGUCGGGACCGCCA